rnacentral:rRNA from 1 species
CUUUGUUCCAACUGUACAAUUUAAUUUUUAAACUACAUCUGCGUGAGAGACAGAAGGGCUUCUAUUGCUAAUGGACCAUUAAAUUACAUGCUUAAUGAAUGGUCCUCGUUUCUUCCAUUAAUGUUCAGGUAAUGAUUACAAGAUACACAUUCAGAUCAAUAAAAAAUUUCUUGAGUAUGGAGAGGGACAAAACAAGUGCAUUCUUCUAUCCGAAAACUGCAGGAGAGGAAAUAAAAUAAGAUCAAUCCAUAUUCCUAAACUUGCUGGAUGAAAAAUACAUCGGAUAGAAGCCACUGUCACAUACGAAACCACAUGCAUCUUAAAAGAUUGGGAAAAGAAUAAAAAUCUUGUUUAAGAAAAAACAAGGAGAGGAAUCACUGCUACCUAGACUCUUUAAGGAAGACGACGGGGAAGAUGAGGAGGAGCUCUAGACUCCUCACUGGGCCUUGCCGCCGAGCCGCUGGACUCUAGAUCUGGCCACAACCGAGCUGCUCACAGUGAUGAUGCUGCUGCUCGUGGUUCGUCGAUGCCCGACAUCCUCUCAUCAUCCCCCACCAUGGCUAUGAGGCAGCCACGCUGCUCCAUCUUACCUCGAUGGCGGAUCUGGCGAUAGAGGCAGCAGGGCAUGGGCGGAGGACAAUCGACUACCGGUGAGAAGCACGUCACAUGUCAGGAGAGGGGAGGGGGCCACGGAGGAGGAGCAACCCGGCGAUGCGUGGCCAUGGCAAGGGAGGAGGGAGCCGGCGGCGCGCCGGAUUCGACAGACACGGGAUGGGGAACGAGAGAGAGAAGGAAUGAGGGGUGGGGAACGGCCGAGCGAGAGAGAUACGAU